rnacentral:rRNA from 1 species
GCCGCGUGUGUGAAGAAGGCCUUCGGGUUGUAAAGCACUUUCAGUUGUGAGGAAAGGUUAGUAGUUAAUACCUGCUAGCUGUGACGUUAACAACAGAAGAAGCACCGGCUAACUCCGUGCCAGCAGCCGCGGUAAUACGGAGGGUGCAAGCGUUAAUCGGAAUUACUGGGCGUAAAGCGCACGCAGGCGGUCUGUUAAGCUAGAUGUGAAAGCCCCGCGCUCAACGUGGGAUGGUCAUUUAGAACUGGCAGACUAGAGUUUUGGAGAGGAGAGUGGAAUUCCAGGUGUAGCGGUGAAAUGCGUAGAUAUCUGGAGGAACAUCAGUGGCGAAGGCGACUCUCUGGUCAAUAACUGACGCUCAUGUGCGAAAGUGUGGGUAGCGAACGGGAUUAGAUACCCCGGUAGUCCACACCGUAAACGCUGUCUACUAACUGUUUGUGGAUUUAAUCCGUGAGUAGUGAA